rnacentral:rRNA from 1 species
UACAGAGACGGCAAGCGUUGUUCGGAUUCAUUGGGCGUAAAGCGCGCGCAGGCGGUCCUUUAAGUCUGAUGUGAAAGCCCACGGCUCAACCGUGGAGGGUCAUUGGAAACUGGGGGGACUUGAGUACAGAAGAGAAGAGUGGAAUUCCACGUGUAGCGGUGAAAUGCGUAGAGAUGUGGAGGAACACCAGUGGCGAAGGCGGCUCACUGGACUGGUACUGACGCUGAGGCGCGAAAGCCAGGGGAGCAAACGGG